rnacentral:rRNA from 1 species
CAGCAGCCGCGGUAAUACGUAGGGGUCAAGCGUUGUCCGGAUUCAUUGGGCGUAAAGAGCUCGUAGGCGGCUCAGCAAGUCGGUCGUGAAAACCCGGGGCUCAACCCCGGGACGCCGAUCGAUACUGCUGUGGCUAGGGUUCGGUAGAGGAGAGUGGAAUUCCCGGUGUAGCGGUGAAAUGCGCAGAUAUCGGGAGGAACACCAGUAGCGAAGGCGGCUCUCUGGGCCGAUACCGACGCUGAGGAGCGAAAGCUAGGGGAGCAAACAGGAUUAGAUACCCUGGUAGUCCUAGCCGUAAACGUUGGGCACUAGGUGUGGCGGACUCAUUGACGUCUGCCGUGCCGCAGCUAACGCAUUAAGUGCCCCGCCUGGGGAGUACGGUCGCAAGGCUAAAACUCAAAGGAAUUGACGGGGGCCCGCACAAGCGGCGGAGCAUGCGGCUUAAUUCGAUGCAACCCGAAGAACCUUACCUAGGCUUGACAUCACGGGAAAAACUGUGGAAACACAGUGUGCGUAAGCGUCCCUGACAGGUGGUGCAUGGCCGUCGUCAGCUCGUGUCGUGAGAUGUUGGGUUAAGUCCCGCAACGAGCGCAACCCUUGUCCUAUGUUGCCAGCGGAUAAUGCCGGGGACUCAUAAGAGACUGCCGGGGACAACUCGGAGGAAGGCGGGGACGACGUCAGGUCAUCAUGCCCCUUAUGCCUAGGGCUGCACGCAUGCUACAA